rnacentral:rRNA from 1 species
UGGGGAAUAUUGGGCAAUGGGGGCAACCCUGACCAGCGACGCCGCGUGAGGGAAGAAGGCCUUAGGGUCGUAAACCUCUGUUGUGUGGGAAGAAGGAAGUGACGGUACCACACGAGGAAGUCCCGGCUAACUACGUGCCAGCAGCCGCGGUAAUACGUAGGGGACGAGCGUUGUCCGGAAUUACUGGGCGUAAAGGGCGCGUAGGCUGUCAUUUAAGUCAGCUGUGAAAUGGUCCGGCUCAACCGGAUCAUGCGGUUGAAACUGGAUGACUGGAGUGCUGGAGAGGCAAGUGGAAUUCCCAGUGUAGCGGUGAAAUGCGUAGAUAUUGGGAAGAACACCGGUGGCGAAGGCGACUUGCUGGCCAGAAACUGACGCUGAGGCGCGAAAGCCAGGGGAGCAAACGGG